GACGAACGCUGGCGGCGUGCCUAAUACAUGCAAGUAGAACGCACAGUUUAUACCGUAGCUUGCUACACCAUAAACUGUGAGUUGCGAACGGGUGAGUAACGCGUAGGUAACCUGCCUGGUAGCGGGGGAUAACUAUUGGAAACGAUAGCUAAUACCGCAUAAUAUUGAUUAUUGCAUGAUAAUUGAUUGAAAGAUGCUAUUGCAUCACUACCAGAUGGACCUGCGUUGUAUUAGCUAGUAGGUGAGGUAACGGCUCACCUAGGCGACGAUACAUAGCCGACCUGAGAGGGUGAUCGGCCACACUGGGACUGAGACACGGCCCAGACUCCUACGGGAGGCAGCAGUAGGUAAUCUUCGGCAAUGGACGAAAGUCUGACCGAGCAACGCCGCGUGAGUGAAGAAGGUUUUCGGAUCGUAAAGCUCUGUUGUAAGAGAAGAACGGGUGUGAGAGUGGAAAGUUCACACUGUGACGGUAUCUUACCAGAAAGGGACGGCUAACUACGUG
rnacentral:rRNA from 1 species